GGUCAGGGGUGUGGCCCAGAGGGCUUUAAAAGGAGAACCCACAGAGAAUCCCUCUCUUUGCUCCGCCAUUUUCUGCCAUGUGAGACCUCUGCAGUACUGUAAAGCCACCAUCAAGAAGACCCUCACCAGAUGUGCUCCCUGAACUUUGGACUUCCCAGCCUCCAAAACUAUGAGAAAAGAAAACUUGCAGCAGGGAAAAGAUUGAACUGGGGACCUCAAGGCACUGCUACUGUCCUGCUCUGAGCCAAAUGAUCUGGGAUGAAUUACCUUGCCUUUCUGAUCAUGUCUGGGAUAUGCAGCGAAUGAGGCUGGUGCAGAGGAGGUGCUCGCCCCACGCCUUCCUGGAUGCCCACCUUGAGCGAGGACCAGCGGCGGGAGCGAUAGCUGCACUGCAGGCACUUGAAGAGCUGGGGGUCACCGGCCUCAUGGGAGUUGACGUGGAAGCGCAGGUCCUCGUGGGACAGAAAGCGAGAGCCACAGAUGCGGCACAGGAAGGGCCUCAGCAGCGGUUUGGGUGACUUGUAAUAGUACCUGCCAGGAGGGUGUGUGGAGGUCUGGCUGGGUUGGGGGCCCCAAGAGUCCAGUCUGCUGCCUUGCCCACCUCACCUCUGCGGCACGUACUUGCGGUAUUUCUUGCCUAGGAAGCGCCUGGAAGGUCGACCACGGCGGCGGGGCGGGGUGUCCGGCUCGUCCUGGUAGGAGGGCGCUGUGUUCUCUGUGUCUGACUGGCUCACGCCAGGUUCCACAGGGGCCCUGCCAGUUUUGCCCAGGGCCACCAGGCAUCCUGGGCCUGAGGAGGUGGGAGCCUCAGGAUCCUGUGGCUCUGGAGGGCUCUGUCCACUCUGGGAACUCACAAAAGGGUCUCCUUCCACACCUGCCAUGGACAUACCAGGCCACAAAUCAGCCACAGACACACCAGGAUAGAUGGGCCAGAGGCCAGCCAAAAUACCCUCCCGCCGCCCCCCACACAAGGACAGCUGCAGACAGCCCAUGCCCAGAGGGCAAUGUAGAUACCACACCCCUCCUACAGCUGAUGUGCUGUAAGCACAGUAUUACUCAACCUGGACACUAUCUGGAGCAACAGUGAGAGAUUGGGGACCUGGGUUCUAGACCUGGCUUUGUCACUAACUUGCUGUGCAUCCUCAGGCCAUGCUACUCUCCUCCCUGAGUCUCAUUUGCCCCAUCUGUCAAAUGGAGGCAAUAAUCGCUGCUUUGGUAAACUUACAGGAACAUUCUAAAGUCUGAAGC